UAUAUAAUUAGGUCUGAAAAGAUAAUACUUUAUUUAUAGUUUAAUGUUAUUUGCUUGUAAAUAUUUAAUUAGGAUAGAAGUUAGAAUCGAAUCCAUGUAACAAAGUAGCGAGCUGAAGCAUAUAGGUCGUGGAACAUUAUCGGGCAAUACAUCGUACAGUGAGUAGCUACACUUUGAGCAUGCAAAGAAGAUGUGGUCCAAGUUGCCCUCAUCAAGCCCACAAUCACACAAUGAGUUCGCACGAACACCUAUCAUAGCCAGAAAUAACGGAGUACAUACUUUGCCCAAACGUAAACGACAGAUGGUGGAUAUUACCCAUUUCGGAGACGUACGGAAUCGAUAGAACCACGGUUUUCGAGAUAUACGAGGUUGUAUACAGCCAUAAUGUCUACCUGUCACUAAUCUCGAGGUAUCCCAUUGUUCCUGCCAUGUAUUAAAUAGAUCCGACAGUGAACCACUCAGAAGCUUCAAGAAUAGCAACUGCUUCACCUGUGAAAAUCGACGCUUGAGGAGGACACCUAAAUGAGAGGACAAUAUUGUACCGAGGAAUCCACACUGCUGCUCCCACACAUCUUGCAGGAUCUACCUUUGAAGCGUCAGUAUAAACCGUGAGUUCCAGUGCAAGUGACCGCAAACGUGGAAGCAGCAAAUGGUUGUAGUAAGAACUGGCUUUGAUUAAAAAUCUAUCGGCAAGAUAUUGUCUGCGGAGAGACAAAGGAGGCUCAACACCUUCCACCUGCAUGGCGUUCUUGGGAGAAGAAUGCAUAGCUCCGAGUAUGAUCCUCAAACAUUUAGCUUGUAUGAGAUCUAAUUUACCUAGUCCAUCCUUAUUGCAAGGUUCCAUUAAAAAUGACCCAUAGUCUAUAUGACUGCGUAUGAUGGCAUUGUACAGUAGCUUCUGACAAUAUGGAUGUGAGCCCCACCAUACACCUGACAAUGCUCGCAGAAUAUUGAUAUUUUUUUCACACUUACCUAUUAUAUACUUGUGAUGUGAAAUGCCAGACAUUUUGUGAUCUAAAAUGACACCUAGGAAUUUUACUGACUCCUUACUUGGAAUCAUAACACCGCCAUAACGGACAUCUGCAGCAGGCAUGAUUCUUCUGCGACUGAACGUGACUACACAACUCUUCGUUGGCGAUAGAGUAAGACCAUGUUCAUCAAGCCAAUCUUUGAGGUAACCCAGAGCUGUGUUCAAACUAGCAGCGGCUUUAUCUAUUGACUUUGCUGAGGUGUAUAAGACCAGAUCAUCAGCAUACUGCAAGAUAUUACAGAAGGAUAAGACAGAUUGCUCCAAGUCGUAGGUGUAGAUACUGUAAAGCAGAGGGCUGAGUACAGAUCCUUGCGGGAGGCCCCGCCACAAAGUCCGAGGUGGAUGAUAAGAAUUACCAUUCCUAAUUUUAAUUGACCUACCCAUAAACAACUUGGUGACAAUAUGUACAAUCUUCGCGGGAAUGCUCAGAUGUAGCAUUUUUGCCCUGAGCACCGGAAGAAGGACAUUGUCGUAAGCCGCAGAGAUAUCUAGAAAACAUCCUAGCAGAUAUUCGUUUUUUGAAAAGGUAAGUCGGAUAUCAGUUGCUAAAAUGUUUAAACUGUCCAUUGUACUACGGCCCUUUCGGAAACCAAAUUGAGUGUCAGCUAGAAUGCCCUUAUUUUCUGCAAACCAUUCCAGUCUAUUUUUAACCAGGUGCUCCAGUAUCUUUCCCAUUGUUGCAGAAAGAGCAAUCGGCCGAUAUGAGCUAGCCUCGUCUGGGUUUUUUAGACGGUUUUAGGAUUGGAAUAAUUACUUGGGUCUUCCAGUCUCCUGGGAUCUCCCCCGUGUCAAAGGCAUGGUUUAGGAUACCAAGUAGAUAUUCCUGUGAUGAUGUAUUUAACUUGGACAAGAAACAAUAUGCAGCGGUUCAGGGGAAGGAGAUGGAAGAAUAGAUGAAGGCUUAGUGAUAAUAAUAGGGAAAUGGUCACUGCCAAAUGACUGACGUAAUACCCUCCAGGAUAAUAAAGAAGAUAAACUAGGAGAACAAACAGAUAAAUCGAGAACUGAUUGGGGAUUCUGGCCUGGGUAUACCCGAUGCGUGGGAGUUCCAUCAUUAAUAACUCCUACAUUGAUGUCAUCGAACAGAUCCAGCAGGGCUGACGAAAACGAAUCUGAAUGGUAUGAUCCCCAGGAGAUAUUGUGACAGUUAAAGUCUCCUAAAAUUAUAAGAGGAGGUGGGACAGAUGUGAGAAUAGAUUGUAAUUCAUCUAUAUCAACUUCUUCAGGAUGGGGGAUAUAUAUAGAGAUGAAAUUAAUGCCCAUAACCUUGGCAGCUACGGCAUUAAUCCCAUCCGAGUGAGGGGGGAUAGGAAUUUGGUAGAAAGGGUAACAGCGCUUGAUCAAUAACGCGCAUCCGGCGCGUCCGUCACUACGGUCUUCCCGGAGACAUGAGAAGCCCGGGACUCUAAAAAGAGCGCCGGGACGCAACCAUGUCUCCGAAAUAGCCGCAACAGACACGGCGUGGUCGUUGAUGAGCUGAAUAAGGUCAGGUUUUUUUUGGUAUGAUACUUCGACUAUUCCAUUGUAGAAAUGUGACCGGGGGGGCCAUUGUGGAAUGUAAGUCUCUCCGCGAGUGUAACCAUUAAGGGUGCAACGUCGUUCGGUAGGAAAUCGCUCCAUUUAGCGAUGAUGUUUGUUAAAAAUUUCAAACAGAGUUCCAUUAGGUCUUCAUUGGGAGUGAUUCUAUUGUAAGAAGAAGAGCCAUUCAGAG